GGGCAGCCUUGUGGAUGAUGGGCAAGGGUUGCUAGGCAGGCUGAUGGAGCUGGAAUGUGGGCCUACCAUUCAUUCUACCGUGUUGUGAAAAUGGGGCCACGAACAGAUGGAUUCACCCCGUGAGAGCUCACGUUAGGAAACUAACUUCCUCUGGAGUCUGCCGAAUAGGCCGAGCCCUAGGAUCUGUUGUGAUAGACCACACCACAAAAGAGGGGUAAAGAGAGGUCAGAUAGGCAGGGGGUGAGCACACCUGGACUCCGGACUGGACUGAUAUGACGACCCAAAACCUGGCUCAACCCUCCACAAGACCAUAAACAAGUUAUUAGAAUGCUCUAUGCCUCCGUUUUCUCACCUGCAAAUGGCCUUUUGAAUUCACAGGGAGAAGGUGGCUGUCUGCAACCCAAAGGAAGAGGCCCUACCAGAUACUAACUCUGACAGCAUCUUGAGCAUGGACUUCUAGCUUCCAGACUGUGACACACUAAGUUUCUAUUGUUUGAGCCACCCAGGUUGAGCCAUUUUGUUUUGGCAACCCUAGCAUUCUAGGACAGCACCAUAUAAGUUGUAUCUACUAUUAUUACUAAGACAGUCAGAACAGAAAUAGAGAAGACAGGCUGAGUUUGAAGAACAACUCCGCCAUCCCAAAAUUCAGGAUUUUUAUGUCGAAGAUCGGUGUUGUUGGAAACUGGUCCUACAACUGUUUGAUCAUUUAUCAGUUAUGUGACCUCAGGAAAGUCAAUGGAGCCCCAGUCUCAGUACAUUCAUUAAUAAAGUGGGGCCAACACAGGAGGCGGCCUUCAAUGAUCCUUCAGCUCCUUCUCACAUCAGACAGCAUAUCUUCUACAUCUACUUACAUACUGUUUACAAAACACAUCUAUUAAAUCUUUAUUUUUCUAAAAAGUUAUUGGUAUUUGUUGUAUCUGUUACAAAUCUUAG
rnacentral:lncRNA from 1 species